CCUUCCUUGCUGAGGGCACUCAGGUGGGCAGCUGUG
rnacentral:precursor_RNA from 1 species